AGGUGACCAGCAUGCUUUUGGAAAUUCCCAUUUUGUUAAAGUAUAAGAUUCACAUGCCAUUUUUCAUAUAUCAAUACAUUGCAUAAAUAAUCAUCUCUAUAGUAAAACGUUUUCCUAUUUGUGCUUGUGAGCCUGCAUCUGUUAUGAACCCCUAGUAUUUUCUUUUUUUAAUCUACCAUUCAUUUUUCAUUUUUAUCAGGAGCUAUUAAGUAGAACAUCUCUUGAAACUCAAAAACUUGACCUUAUGGCUGAGGUUUCCAACUUGAAGCUCAAGCUAACUGCUGUGGAAAAAGACAGGUUAGACUAUGGAGACAGAUUCCGAGACACAGAGGGUUUGAUGCAGGAAAUUAAUGAAUUACGCUUAAAAGUGGGAGAAAUGGAUAGUGAGAGAAUUCAAUAUGAGAAAAAAUUUAAAUCUACCAAA